UCUUCUGUACCAAUAAACAAAGUUGGUAGUAAGGGCGCUAUUAUUUGCACAUUAAUUUCAAAUCAGGUGUGAUCUCAUCUCUUAGAUAGAAAUAUUCAUGCCUAAAAAAUAAAUCACAAAAAAAAAAAGAAAAAAAAAGAAAAGACUACAAACUCUGCAGUAUACAAGGCUUUGACUUACUCAAGAAAGAUUCUCCUUCAUCUCAUGCUCCAACUUU
rnacentral:lncRNA from 1 species